AUUGAACGCUGGCGGCAUGCUUUACACAUGCAAGUCGAACGGCAGCACGGGUGCUUGCACCUGGUGGCGAGUGGCGGACGGGUGAGUAAUGCAUCGGAACGUGUCCUGAAGUGGGGGAUAACGCAUCGAAAGAUGUGCUAAUACCGCAUAUUCUCUGAGGAGAAAAGUAGGGGAUCGAAAGACCUUAUGCUUUUGGAGCGGCCGAUGUCUGAUUAGCUAGUUGGUAAGGUAAUGGCUUACCAAGGCAACGAUCAGUAGUUGGUCUGAGAGGACGGCCAGCCACACUGGGACUGAGACACGGCCCAGACUCCUACGGGAGGCAGCAGUGGGGAAUUUUGGACAAUGGGCGCAAGCCUGAUCCAGCAAUGCCGCGUGAGUGAAGAAGGCCU
rnacentral:rRNA from 1 species